rnacentral:rRNA from 1 species
CACGGGGGGAGCAAGCGUUGUUCGGAAUCACUGGGCGUAAAGGGCGUGUAGGCGGUCAGGUAAGUGAGAUGUGAAAUGCCCCGGCUCACCCGGGGACCGGCAUCUCAUACUGCUUGGCUUGAGUUCGGGAGAGGGAUGCGGAAUUCCAGGUGUAGCGGUGAAAAUGCGUAGAUAUCUGGGAGGGAAACACCCGGGUGGCGAAAGGGCGGGCAAUCCUGGACCC